GAACGGGUGAGUAACACGUGGAUAACCUGCCUCAAGGCUGGGGAUAACAUUUGGAAACAGAUGCUAAUACCGAAUAAAACUUAGUAUCGCAUGAUAUCAAGUUAAAAGGCGCUACGGCGUCACCUAGAGAUGGAUCCGCGGUGCAUUAGUUAGUUGGUGGGGUAAAGGCUUACCAAGACGAUGAUGCAUAGCCGAGUUGAGAGACUGAUCGGCCACAUUGGGACUGAGACACGGCCCAAACUCCUACGGGAGGCUGCAGUAGGGAAUCUUCCACAAUGGGCGCAAGCCUGAUGGAGCAACGCCGCGUGUGUGAUGAAGGCUUUCGGGUCGUAAAGCACUGUUGUAUGGAAGAAAUGCUAAAAUAGGGAAUGAUUUUAGUUUGACGGUACCAUACCAGAAAGGGACGGCUAAAUACGUGCCAGCAGCCGCGGUAAUACGUAUGUCCCGAGCGUUAUCCGGAUUUAUUGGGCGUAAAGCGAGCGCAGACGGUUGAUUAAGUCUGAUGUGAAAGCCCGGAGCUCAACUCCGGAAUGGCAUUGGAAACUGGUUAACUUGAGUGUUGUAGAGGUAAGUGGAACUCCAUGUGUAGCGGUGGAAUGCGUAGAUAUAUGGAAGAACACCAGUGGCGAAGGCGGCUUACUGGACAACAACUGACGUUGAGGCUCGAAAGUGUGGGUAGCAAACAGGAUUAGAUACCCUGGUAGUCCACACCGUAAACGAUGAAUACUAGGUGUUAGGAGGUUUCCGCCUCUUAGUGCCGAAG
rnacentral:rRNA from 1 species